rnacentral:rRNA from 1 species
GACGGAGGAUGCAAGUGUUAUCCGGAAUCACUAGGCGUAAAGCGUCUGUAGGUGGUCAAAUAAGUCAACUGUUAAAUCUUGAGGCUCAACCUCAAAAUCGCAGUCGAAACUAUUAGACUAGAGUAUAGUAGGGGUAAAGGGAAUUUCCAGUGGAGCGGUGAAAUGCGUAGAGAUUGGAAAGAACACCGAUGGCGAAGGCACUUUACUGGGCUAUUACUAACACUCAGAGACGAAAGCUAGGGUAGCAAAUGGG